ACGGCCACGUUACGUUGAAACACCAUUUCCCGUACGAUCACCGAAGUUAAGCAACAUCGAGUCUCGUCAGUGCCUAGAUGGGUAACCGCUUGAGAAUACCAAGAGCUGUAAG